rnacentral:rRNA from 1 species
AUGGCUCAGGAUAAACGCUGGCGGCGUGCUUAACACAUGCAAGUCGAACGGAGUAAUCCUCCCGAAGACCUGACGAGCUUGCUCAGAUGGAAUUCAUUUGGAUUACUUAGUGGCGGACGGGUGAGUAACGCGUGGGUAACCUGCCCUAUACUGGGGGAUAGCAGUUGGAAACGACUGAUAAUACCGCAUAAGCGCACAGGACCGCAUGGUCUAGUGUGAAAAAACUCCGGUGGUAUAGGAUGGACCCGCGUCUGAUUAGCUAGUUGGCGAGGUAACGGCCCACCAAGGCGACGAUCAGUAGCCGGCCUGAGAGGGUGUGCGGCCACAUUGGGACUGAGACACGGCCCAAACUCCUACGGGAGGCAGCAGUGGGGAAUAUUGGACAAUGGGGGAAACCCUGAUCCAGCGACGCCCGCGUGAGCGAUGAAGUAUUUCGGUAUGUAAAGCUCUAUCAGCAGGGAAGAUAAUGACGGUACCUGACUAAGAAGCACCGGCUAAAUACGUGCCAGCCGCUGC